UACCCGCUCCGCGAGUGGUGGGGACUUUUACUGGGCUUAAAGCGUCCGUCGCCGGCCCAGCGUGUUCCCUGUUAAAUCCGGCGGCCUAACCGCCGGGCUGCGGAGAAUACUGCUGGGCUUGGGGGUGGGAGAGGCCGACGGUACUCCCGGGGUAGGGGUAAAAUCCACUGAUCCCGGGAGGACCACCAGUGGCGAAGGCGGUCGGCCAGAACACGCCCGACGGUGAGGGACGAAAGCUGGGGGAGCGAUCGGG
rnacentral:rRNA from 1 species